rnacentral:tRNA from 1 species
GCGUGUGCCCAGUCGGUAGAGCGCAUCCUUGGUAAGGAUGAGGUCGGCAGCUCGAUCCCGCCCGCGCCCCA